CUCAUUUUUCUUAGAUCUAAAUCCUCCUAAUCUAAGAAAAAACUUUAUCAAAGAUCUAUGAAGCUCCAAAACAAGGAAGAGUUCAAACUAGAGGAGAUCUUUUCAAUGGAUUUCCUUCAAAGAGGGGUGUGCUAGGGACUAAUGUCAACCAUAAAAGAAAAACCCAAGGUGUUUUCAAGGGUUCUUGAUUGCUCUUCUU
rnacentral:lncRNA from 1 species